GAUCCCUUCGGGGUGAACUUGGUGCUGACGAGUGGCGAACGGGUGAGUAAUGCUUAUGAAUCUGCCCAGUAGUGGGGGACAACCCGGGGAAACCCGGGCUAAUACCGCGUACGCUCUACGGAGGAAAGCGGGGGAUCUUCGGACCUCGCGCUAUUGGAUGAGCCUAAGUCGGAUUAGCUUGUUGGUGGGGUAAAGGCCUACCAAGGCAACGAUCCGUAGCUGGUCUGAGAGGACGACCAGCCACACUGGGACUGAGACACGGCCCAGACUCCUACGGGAGGCAGCAGUGGGGAAUAUUGGACAAUGGGCGCAAGCCUGAUCCAGCAAUGCCGCGUGUGUGAAGAAGGCCUGCGGGUUGUAAAGCACUUUCAGUUGGGAAGAAAAGCUUGAGGUUAAUACCCUCGGGUCUUGACGUUACCUACAGAAGAAGCACCGGCCAACUCCGUGCCAGCAGCCGCGGUAAUACGGAGGGUGCGAGCGUUAAUCGGAAUUACUGGGCGUAAAGCGCACGCAGGUGGCUGGGUCAGUCGGAUGUGAAAUCCCUGGGCUUAACCUGGGGAUUGCAUUCGAAACUGCCCGGCUAGAGUAUGGGAGAGGGAAGUGGAAUUCCCGGUGUAGCGGUGAAAUGCGU
rnacentral:rRNA from 1 species